GAAUGCAGGGAAUCAGAAGGUGCCUGCAGGAUAUUGAGUAAGUAGGGAGGUGCCCUGAAUAACCAAGGGACAGAUUGGGAGACCUAGAAGGCAAGUAAAGAGGUGAGAAAGGAAAUAGCACAGGGAAAACUGCAAUAUGGAUAGAAGAUUUGACUUAGCUGUGCAGUACAGGGCCCCAGGCUGUAACCCAGAAUUGAGGUUGGGACUGGAUUCCCCUACCAGCCUCAAGGAAGCGGUGUGCCAGGGUAGCUGAGCCCAGCAAGGGGGCUGCAGGCUGAAUGUGACCUCGCUGAAGAAGAACUGUGGAGAGGCUGGCAGCUUUUUAUUUCUGUUAAGAUAGCUUUGAACUUUAGUGUGGAUAGCUGACCCUGGAAGGAAUGGGCUAGAGACUGUGCCCUGUCUGGAGGGAUGAGUUGUCUGAAAGAAACCACCACAGCUCCAGAGUGAUUGUUGACAAGGGCUACUACCCUGCAAAGACACUGCGAUGCCAUGCCUGGCCAUGAGGAAGUGCAUAGUGGUAUAAAUAUCAAGCUUUGGAAAGUCUUGAUAGAGGGUUUUAAACACCAUCGUGUAGAGAACAUCCAACCAGGUCAAUUGUGAAGAUUACAAACAAGGUAACUGUUCUCAGAACUCUUUUGAAGGUGAAGAGUGGAAAUGUUUAUAAUAUGAAUAAAUACAAAAGUGUUUGAGACCCAAAUAAAUCAUUACUAUUACAUACUAUGACACGGAGUGCAUACCCCAUACUGGACAAGAGGGGGUUAACCCCACACUAUGGAUGGCGGAAGUCCCAGGCCUCAGACCAUGAUGGGCAUGCUCCAACUACUGCCUCAGUAUAAAAGGGAGCAGCCCAGCUCAUUCUAGGCUGACCACUGGAGGGGGAAGGACCUUCGGCAGAAGAUUCAGCCAAAGAGCCAUCACAGUCUUUGCCUCUGGGAACUGGAGACCUCUGAAAGCCAGACGGGAGAGCUGCAGUUGACAGAGCAGCAGGGACUCACCCGUGAUGAGGAGCCCAGGAACCCCAAAGCUCAAUGAACUAUGAUACCUGGAAAUGCGGUAGGAAGUGACCCAGGCAGGGUGCAUGAGCGGUACUUACUACCUGAGUGAGGUCAGCGUGUUUCAAUGGGAGUCCCCACUGACCCAGCAGCAGACCACUCUGCCGCUGUCAGGCCCCUGGGUUGAGGCCCGGUGGAGUCAAGUAGGCCCAGGCCUCCCUACCCGGGCUUCCACACACACACACCACCGGUGGCCCCUUCCUCCUUCCUGGAUACUGGCCAUUGGGCCUCACUGCCCCGCGCCUAGGGGCUAUGAUAGUGACUCUGGCCAUUGGGGUCACACUGCCCUGUACCUGAAGGCUAUAUGAACCCUGGCUGCUAGACCAUAUUUCUCUGUGUCUGAGGGCAGUUAUAUUGACUCUGGCCACUAGGCCACACUGCCCUGGCUGCAAGGGCCGCCGGCACUGACUUUUGCCGCAAGGGCCGUACUGCCCUGCUGGAAUUGACUCUGGCCACCAGGCCAUGCUGCUCUGAACAUAAGGGCCACAGUAACUGACUUUAGCCAUUAAGUGGUGCUGUCCCAAACACAAGGGCUGCUGGAAGUGACUCUGGCUGCUUUCAGCCUAAAGGCAGUCGGGGAGACUGUAACGGUGGUGGUAUCACGACACCGCCCCAAAAGGAGGACAGGAAACACAGCUUCCACUGAUGAGCUGACACGAAAUGAUGCACAGAAUUGCACAGAACAUCUUGGCAGCUAGGGAACUCCUGUGACUACUUCAAUAACUCUAAGGGCUUUCAUCACAUGCUGUAUCUAUGCCUCUAAUAAAAACUCAUGUACCAUACUCCAUAUUUUAGUUUUAAAACACUGUGAAAGCAAAUGAAGUUGCCGAGUGCACUUGACUUUUCAGGAGUUUGGGGUAAUUUGUGAAAUAUGUCUGGACC